rnacentral:lncRNA from 1 species
AUGCAGGGGAGGAAGCUAGAGGCAGGUGGUCUUUGUUGAUUCCCAGAAAAAGACCGCGUUUCCUCCCGGUAAAGCACGGUCUUUAAGAAUUGAUCCAACUGGACUUGUCAGUCACCUAGCCAGGAGACCGCCUCUUAGCAAAGCUGAUAUGCCUGAAGACUGCUAAGAUCCUAAGCACGCUUGCCCUGACAUUCUGAACACUCACUCCCAGACAUUCGGAACUCCUUCCAUACAGCUGCUUGCAGACUUCCCAUUGCUGCGCCUGUUUUGACCCUACUUCAAAGGACACGAGGUAGGGUCUUCCUCUUCCUCUACCAUCAGCCACAGAGAUUUACAUCUUGCCUGCCCAG